rnacentral:rRNA from 1 species
UACAGAGGUCUCAAGCGUUGUUCGGAUUCAUUGGGCGUAAAGGGUGCGUAGGUGGCGCCGUAAGUCGGGUGUGAAAUUUCGGAGCUUAACUCCGAAAACUGCAUUCGAUACUGCGGUGCUUGAGGACUGGAGAGGAGACUGGAAUUAUCGGUGUAGCAGUGAAAUGCGUAGAGUAUCAUGAGGAAGACCAGUGGCGAAGGCGGGUCUCUGGACAGUUCCUGACGCUGAGGCACGAAGGCCAGGGGAGCAAACGGG